UAGGGAAUCUUCCGCAAUGGGCGAAAGCUUGACGGAGCAACGCCGCGUGAGUGAUGAAGGUCUUCGGAUCGUAAAACUCUGUUAUUAGGGAAGAACAAAUGUGUAAGUAACUAUGCACGUCUUGACGGUACCUAAUCAGAAAGCCACGGCUAACUACGUGCCAGCAGCCGCGGUAAUACGUAGGUGGCAAGCGUUAUCCGGAAUUAUUGGGCGUAAAGCGCGCGUAGGCGGUUUUUUAAGUCUGAUGUGAAAGCCCACGGCUCAACCGUGGAGGGUCAUUGGAAACUGGAAAACUUGAGUGCAGAAGAGGAAAGUGGAAUUCCAUGUAUAGCGGUGAAAUGCGCAGAGAUAUGGAGGAACACCAGUGGCGAAGGCGACUUUCUGGUCUGUAACUGACGCUGAUGUGCGAAAGCGUGGGGAUCAAACAGG
rnacentral:rRNA from 1 species